rnacentral:rRNA from 1 species
AACGAACGCUGGUGGCGUGCUUAACACAUGCAAGUCGAACGAGAAAAUUCCUUCGGGGAUUUAGUAAAGUGGCGCAAGGGUGAGUAACACGUGAAUAAUCUGCCCUCGAGAUCGGGAUAACAUGGUGAAAACUAUGCUAAUACCGGAUAAGACCACAUCUCAUAAGAGAUGCGGGAAAAGGAGUCUCAAUCUUCACUCGAGGAUGAGUUCGCGCAACAUUAGCUUGUUGGUGAGAUAAAAGCUCACCAAGGCUACGAUGUUUAGCCGGCCUGAGAGGGUGAUCGGCCACACUGGAACUGAGACACGGUCCAGACUCCUACGGGAGGCAGCAGUGGGGAAUAUUGCACAAUGGGCGCAAGCCUGAUGCAGCAAUGCCGCGUGUGUGAGA